rnacentral:rRNA from 1 species
ACGGGUGAGUAACACGUGGGAACGUACCCUUUGGUUCGGAAUAACGCUGGGAAACUAGCGCUAAUACCGGAUACGCCCUUUUGGGGAAAGGCUUGCUGCCGAAGGAUCGGCCCGCGUCUGAUUAGCUAGUUGGUGGGGUAAUGGCCUACCAAGGCGACGAUCAGUAGCUGGUCUGAGAGGAUGAUCAGCCACACUGGGACUGAGACACGGCCCAGACUCCUACGGGAGGCAGCAGUGGGGAAUAUUGGACAAUGGGCGCAAGCCUGAUCCAGCCAUGCCGCGUGAGUGAUGAAGGCCUUAGGGUUGUAAAGCUCUUUUGUCCGGGGCGAUAAUGACGGUACCGGAAGAAUAAGCCCCGGCUAACUUCGUGCCAGCAGCCGCGGUAAUACGAAGGGGGCUAGCGUUGCUCGGAAUCACUGGGCGUAAAGGGCGCGUAGGCGGCCAUUCAAGUCGGGGGUGAAAGCCUGUGGCUCAACCACAGAAUUGCCUUCGAUACUGUUUGGCUUGAGUUUGGUAGAGGUUGGUGGAACUGCGAGUGUAGAGGUGAAAUUCGUAGA